rnacentral:piRNA from 1 species
UGUCCUCACGUUGGUUCACAGCUAGACAU